UGUGUAUAUGUGUAUAUAUAUCAUCGUAAUCACGUUACCGACCAGGCCAUCACAUGCUGCUACACAUCACUGGUCACAAUGCGCUUCGCAUUGUUUUAGCCUUCAAAUGACGCCACCCCGCUGGCUAAGUGAGCAGGCCAACAGAAGAAAGAGUGAGAGAAAAUGUGGUGAAAGAGUACAGCAGGGAU